AGAAAGUGGAAAUUGCAAAGAACUGUACGGUGCGGAGAAAUCAAAGAAAUCAUAGAGAGACAAGACAACCUGAGAAGGCAAGGCAAGGGAAGGGAAGGAAGAAUAUUGCAACAAUGCGAAAGGACAAAGGAGUGGCAAUCCAAAAUCCAGUCGAAGAUGGAGACGAAGAUGUCAAUUCCGAUUACCCUAACAAAUUCGAACCCAUAGUUCCUCUCCCAUUCUCCACUCGCAACACUUCUUCCAAAUAUGAUUUCGUCAAGGUGAAAGUCUGGCUGGGCGAUAAUGCCGAUCACUAUUACGUUUUCUCCAGAUUUUUGCUCAGCAGAAUGCUCACCGUCACCAAGAUUCCCAACCAUGUGGCCAUUAAGAUUGCUCUGGAACUUAAGAAGCUACUUGUUGACAAUAGCCUUCUGGAUGUCUCUCAGUCUGACCUUGAAGCAAACUUAUUUAAGCUCAUGGAGCGACGAGGUUUUGGUGAAGAAUAUAUAAACAGAUAUAAAAUGAUGACAAGGUUUCACCAUCAAAGAAUUCCUCUGGUUAUUCUUGUGUGUGGUACUGCUUGUGUUGGAAAGUCAACUAUUGCUACUCAACUUGCCCAAAGAUUAAACCUGCCGAAUGUUUUGCAGACAGAUAUGGUGUAUGAAUUACUGCGGACGGCAACAGAUGCUCCAUUAACAGCUUCUCCUGUGUGGGCUCGAAAUUUUAGCUCAUCCGAGGAGUUAAUAACUGAAUUUUGUAGAGAAUGUCGAAUUGUUCGUAAAGGUUUGGGUGGUGAUUUGAAGAAAGCAAUGAAGGAUGGAAAGCCAAUUAUUAUCGAGCAGGGAAUAUAUUUGGAUCCUAGUAUGUACCUAAUGGACGAUGACAAUAAGUCAUCUACUGCCGUACCAGAAAAAGAGGAAGAGAAAUCAGGAAAAAUUAAAAAUGGAGUCUCGCAAGAGAAUGACACUCCCGCUCCUAGCGCUAAUCAAGAGAAGGAGAAUAUCGGCACUCUAACGAAUGAAUCAUGGGGCAAAACAUGUAAUGUUGAUACAAGUUCAGGCGCUCAAUCGUCUGAGGACAUAGGUGGAAGCUUGCCUGUUAGUAAAGAUGAAUCGGGUACAGGUGCCGAACCUGUAAAAGUUCCUGCAGUCAAGAAAAAUAAGUACGGUCCAGAACCCAUUAUUGUUCCGAUAAUCCUAAGGAUGGCUGAAUUUGACCAUAAGGCUUUGCUUGAGGAGUGGCUAUCUACUCGUAGCUGUGAAAAGUUCCCCGUAAAGGAUAAGGAUAAAUUAAUCAGCAACUUGAAAACAAUCCAAGACUAUCUAUGUUCUUUUAAGUCGCAGGGUUAUACUGUGGUGAAUAUAUCAGCAACGGCAUUUCCGCAGACCUUGGACUGGCUGCAUAGUUAUCUUCUUCAGUGUAUCGAGCAUGGCACAACAUCUGUUUCCACUGGGGGUGGUGAUCCGGCCGCAGGAAACAAGGUCGCUAAUUGAUCGUUGCUCAGAGCCAUUGUACGGCUUUGUUAUUUUGCUCAAAGUCGAAACUGACAUAUCCUCGCUUUUCGAGAAAAUUGUAAAUAAUAAUAUCUUCUAUGUAUAUUUAAUUAUCACUUUUGGCCUUUAUUUAUCUCGCUGAAAAAAUAUAUCCUACACGUUUACAAAAGUCGUCAUUUCUAUCAUUCGGCCGUGCAUCAUAUUCACAUGACGGUUGUUCAACGCGCAGCCGGAGGACAAGAAAUGACAAUUGUUGCAAAUGUGUAAGAUAUAUUUUGCCAGCGAUAUACGUAGAGGAUGUUUUUUGCAAGUUUUCCCUCGGUUUUCCCUAUAACUUUUAUUUCAUUAUAAGACGAUACCAAAAUCAUUGCAAUGUGGAACUCUGAGCAAUGCUCUCGACAGUCGGCUCGAUGCUCUUUGCACGGGAUAGAACAGAUCUAAGAAUUGUUGGUUCUCUACAAAGCAAUCAAAUAUGAAGUUUCGAUCAAGCUAUGAGCAAAAGGAAUUCGACACUACUGCAGAGUCGAGUCUGCGUUGCUCGCCACAGCCAGAUACGUAUUUUACGUUAUUUUUUAGAAUGGCCGCGACUAGGACAUCUGUAGUUACCAAAUCCUAUGAGCUUUCUGUAGAUAUACGGUACUUAUAUCGUUGCCAAAAUCUAUAGAAAUCAUCGUUUUUUAUUUA